AUAAGACGAGAAGACCCUAUGGAGCUUUAGACCUAAGGUAAGUCACGUUUAACAUGCUGUGAUAACAGAAAAAACUUAGUGAUAUUUACUGAAGUGUCUUUGGUUGGGGCGACCGCGG
rnacentral:rRNA from 1 species